rfam:Papio anubis isolate 1X1155 chromosome 2, whole genome shotgun sequence.
UGCCAACCGGGUGUCUGCACUAAGUUCGGCAUCAAUAUGAUGACCUCCUGGGAGCAGGGGGCCACCAGGUUGCCUAAGGAUGAGUGAACUGGCCCAGAUCAGAAAGGGAGCAGGUCAGAACUCCCGCACCAACCGGUAGUGUGACUGUGCCUGGGCA